rnacentral:sRNA from 1 species
AAUUUUAAGCCCUGCUCAACGAGCAGGGCUUUUUGCAUUCGAAGCCUGGGAGGAUGAGAACCUCCGGGGGAAGAGGUUCGACUCGAGCGGAGCGAGAGAACGUUGCGACAGCAACGGCCCGCAGGGCGAGCCACGACGUGGCGAGUUAUCCUCUAUCACCG